GUGCUUGAAGUCUGGGUGCAAACUAGACAGGCUCUCGUAUAGGGUGCCUUUACUUAACCAUACAGAGGAGUCUGUGUAAUGACAAGUCAGGCCAAAAUUCGUACAGAUGCAGAGUGGGAAAACGGCAAAAAAGGCAACUUUUUUCCUCUGGACGAGGAAAAGGCGAGUUCUCUACAAUUGGCAACCUAUACGGAAGUUUACACCUUGGACCUCUCCUAACUUUUCAGUACAGUGAAGGUCGACCCAGGUUGCAAUAUGUCUGGUAGAGAAGGGGGAAAGAAGAAACCUUUAAAACAAGCCAAGAAAGAGAAGAAAGAACUUGAUGAAUUACAGAUGAGCGCCUGCAUAUACAUCCACACCUAUAGGCCAAGGCAAGCCCUAAUCAGGACAAUCUUCAAGCUCAACUGUCACCAAAGGAGGACUUGGUUUGGAAGCAAAAGCAGAAGGAAGAAAAGAAAAAGCUAGAUGAAGCAAAAGUGAAAGCAGCUCAGAAAGGACCACUGAGUCAAGGUGGCAUUAAGAAAUCAAGGAAGAAAUAACAACAGGUGUGCCCUUGCUUCAAGAUGAGAAAAAGAUUCAUCCCAAGGAAUUGAAAGCAAAUGAACUUUAAGAUUCAUUUUAAGAAGCAAUCCUGUGUAUACCUGCAUUCUUGAAGUAGUAUGAACUCAAUAAAAUUUGACAAGAUUAUUGGGAGAGCAUUAAUAAGUAUUAUCAAUGGUUUAACCACUCAGCUCAUUUACAUUUAUAUGAAGAAAACUGGUUGAGAAAAGCCUAAUCACGAUUAUGAAUUGCGUAUGUUGGGAACAAAUAAAAACAUUUGUGUAUAAAAGCAGCAACAUUGUGACCAAUACUUGUCAUAAAGAUCAUAAAGCACAGCAAAUUUACAUCAUUGACCGUUGUGUGUUACGAUUAAAGGUGUACGUACACAUA